rnacentral:rRNA from 1 species
UACGUAGGAGGCAAGCGUUUGUCCGGAAUUACUGGGCGUAAAGCGCGUGUAGGUGGUGGGACAAGUCUGCUGUGAAAGCGCCUGGCUUAACCGGGCGAGGUCGGCGGAAACUGUCCGACUCGAGGACGGUAGAGGGGGGGUGGAAUUCCCGGUGUAGUGGUGAAAUGCGUAGAGAUCGGGAGGAACACCUGUGGCGAAGGCGGCCCCCUGGGCCGGCCCUGACACUGAGACGCGAAGGCGUGGGGGAGCGAACAGG